rnacentral:rRNA from 1 species
UACGUAGGUGGCGAGCGUUGUCCGGAUUUACUGGGCGUAAAGGGAGCGUAGGCGGACAUUUAAGUGAGAUGUGAAAUACUCGGGCUCAACUUGAGUGCUGCAUUUCAAACUGGAAGUCUAGAGUGCAGGAGAGGAGAAUGGAAUUCCUAGUGUAGCGGUGAAAUGCGUAGAGAUUAGGAAGAUCACCAGUGGCGAAGGCGAUUCUCUGGACUGUAACUGACGCUGAGGCUCGAAAGCGUGGGGAGCAAACAGG